GCGACAACGACACAAUAAUUUACACCCAGCUGAACAACUUGUUGGUUUUAUUCUAAUGCAAUUAGCAGGCAGCAAAAAGGAAAACGCAAAACCUGCAAUUGAAGAAGACAUACGGAAGCCGCACUGUAUAACCCGUUUAAGGCCGUGGGCGUUUUCAUUAAGUCCCACCGAGUGCCAACAGGUGGAUUCGAAUGGCGUGGAGUGGAUGUUGCCUUUUGGAGCCCGACUGGCUGCCGGAUUUAAUGGAGCUUGGACUCUGCUCUGAUGUAAUGACAAUAUGCAUUUUUUUAUGAAUAACAAUCAAUUCUGA